GAGAGAAGCUGGGGGGACAAAAAAAAAGAGAGCCGCUCUUUCUUAGGGGUAUGAACCGUCAUGAUGGAGGAGAAGGGGUGAGCCAGCCUGGUGGUGGAGCGGAGGGGGGUUUAGAGCGGCCUAAGGCGGCGGACGUGCGCGCGGCCUCCACUCGGCGGGAGCCUAGGCGCCGGCGGACCCGGCGAGCGGCGGGCCUCCGGGGCGCAAGCCGCAGCGUCACCGCUCCCGACUGAGGGCAAGGAGCGCACCAACGUCCAGGACUGUUUUUAGCGGGCCUCGAGCGCGCGCAGAGGGGGCCCCACCAGCGGGCCGCGCCGCGGCUCGGUACCUUAUGCCCGGGAGCCUGUCGUCGCCUUGACUACUACUGGAAGGUGGUGGUAUAGGCUUAUUAGGCUUAUUAUCCUCAUAUUCUCCGUCGCCCGCACGGUCACCAUUACCGUCUCGAUAACAAGGACAGUCACCAUUACCUUCCCGGUAACGAGGACGGUCGAGUAUGGGAUCUCGGGUCUGGCUAUACCUUUGUGUUUAAGUUGUCGAACUCGUUCUUCGCAUAACACGUCAAGACGCACGAAAAUUUCGAGUCAGACUACGGGAGUGUACCCUCUUCCUCCCAGACUAAUGACUUGAAUCCUUCCUCGAUUCCCAUAGGCUGUUUCUUGUGUCCCUCCACGAUUUGUCCCAGUUACCACUACUAUAAUAGGCGUCGUAUUCCCUUACCUCUAGUUGUCCUCCGGAAGUCCGUUCGAAUGGGUUAUUAGGAGUCGGAUAUGUAGUACUGGGCCGCGGAUCGGGAUGGUGGAGACCGGCAUUUUCCGUUUUCUGUAGAGUUAGGCAAGGAGGGGAUGGACAUGGCAGAGGAGGACAAUACGUAGGUGUCGUCUACCGAUGUGGUUGUGUUGGAAGUAGAAGUCGUCGAUUUUUCCCUAAAGACGGUCCGUGAUUUCCGUUUUUCUGUUUUGGUCCGGUCUUCUAUGGUCCCCCGAGACGUCAGUUUAGAUACGGUGGAUGUCGUCCAGGGUCGCCUUCCCCUGGUGUAUACUUGUCUUUGAAAGGACCAGCGGGACGACGAGGACUUGGAAGAGUUCCUGUCGUAGUAGAAUUAGGAAAUUAACCGGCAUUUCAGUACAGAGCCACCGGACUUCUAUUAUUAAAGAUACUUCGGUGAUAUUGACUAAUGUUACGCCUUUUCCUGCAAAUACGCGAUCAAAUACUGUAUUUAUGUCGAUUACUCUGGACCCUCACCCAACUAAAAUUUCUCUAUUUUGGUCUUCUGUAUUAGACCGUUCCGCUCCUGGGUCCUAAUAUAGUUCCUCCAGCACCACGAGGUCCAUCGCCCCCAUUCUUCAGUUGAUCGGCACAAUACGGGUGUGGUCCACGUCCAUCCCCCUCUCCUAAGGUUUUCUUACACAGCUUCUUUCUGAAAGGUGCAAGCGUUUUACCGCAACCCUUCUCUUCAAGACUACUGUAACUAUAUGAAGUGUGACUUUCGGACUAUUUUCUCCACCUCUCCCAGAAGUCACAAUCAGUAGGACUAGGAAACCUCCAUCUGUUCCGUUUCUUUCGCGACUUCCUCGUUCUUGUCAGCAACUAACUACGCUAUCGUUCCGAACGACUCCGUAGACUACCGCUUUCACUACUCGCGUUGGCACCGGCAUCCUACCCCGGUAUACCACCCGUGGGCGUAGUUCCUUUGAUACGCCUACGGUACCGACAACUACCGCUGGUGUACCAGCCUCCGCGGCGGUGUAUUUGCCUAACGACCUUGUACAUAUGUGUUUAAGCUAAUCUUCGGGCAGGACAACAUUUUAGAAUAAACGAUUACAAAUAAAUUUUGAAUCGGUAUCCAACUUUGGUAGACCAAAACUCUCUGCUAGUCAAAAACAAGAGAAGAAAAAAAACCCCAUCUUGACGAAUUGCACAACAUUUCGACGACGAGACGCCUCGAUAACACGAAGAACAGUAACGUGUUCACUAUCACGUCACCACUAACUAAUCUGGUCCUGUAAACUGGAGAAGAAAAGCCUUGUAACGAUUGGAAAAGUAAUAAGGCCUUAGUACAGAAUAAGUACAGUAAUAGAUGUUAGCAAUACACUCUCAUGUGUGAUCCGAUAUAAAUGUACUAGUAUGUCGGACCAUUACCCAACUGG
rnacentral:rRNA from 1 species